CCCUUAGAUGUUCGGGGCCGCACGCGCGCUACACUGAAGGAAUCAGCACGUCUUUCUCCUUGUCCGAAAGGACUGGGUAACCCGCUGAACCUCCUUCGUGCUAGGGAUUGGGGCUUGUAAUUCUUCCCCAUGAACGAGGAAUUCCCAGUAAGCGCGAGUCAUAAGCUCGCGUUGAUUACGUCCCUGCCCUCUGUACACACCGCCCGUCGCUACUACCGAUUGGAUGGUUUAGUGAGAUCCUCGGAUUGGUCCCGGAGCGGCCUCUGGUCGUGCCGGAGUGCCGAAAAGAAUGUCGAACUUGAUCAUCUAGAGGAAGUAAAAGUCGUAACA
rnacentral:rRNA from 1 species